GCUGUGCCCCGGUAACUACUGAGGGAAUCACAUUUCAGCUGGCAAGAAUUUUCGACCCCAGGUCCACAUAGUUGCGAUCAGCUUUCCUUAAUUUCAGUCUGUUCCCAGUUUGACGAUUUCUGCUUCACCUUCAAAGAUCCGAUCUUCAAACCUAUUUCAUUCUAUUAAAUUUCACUGCAAACCCUCUGAAAAAUUAUGGGGAUUCGAUUACAUGCACCUUUGAAGUGGUGAAAAUGAAAUUGGGUUCUCCAAUUUUGGUUCGAGUCCCUUGCUCAGUUUAUAUCUUCCAGUUUGGUGGUUGCUAGAGCUCAGGGACCCAUGUCAAGUCUUUCACCAAUUCAUCUUUACCAGUCGCUAUGGGAUUCCUGAUGUGACUGGACGGGAUAAGAUAAGUUCAGCCACCUGAAGAGACCGCUAUUGAUGGGAGGUUUACAUAUAGAUGUCAUGUCCUCCUCCAAAACACUAGGCUACAAUAAGUUCUCAUCUCUGGGAGAAAGAUGAUGAGUCGGGUGUAUACUCUUGAUGGCAUACUGUCAAUAGCAGAAAAAUAGUACGAUAUGAUGGAAGGAGUAAGAAGACGGAUUGAGGAGGUACAGAUUUAAACCUUCUUGGCUCUGUUUCUAAUCCCUUCAUUUUGGUUUUGGUGGUAGCAAUGAUAAGUGUGGGUUUCAUGUCAUGAAUUUUAGAUAUGGUUCAUUUUAACAU